rnacentral:lncRNA from 1 species
CAGCAAACUCUUAUCGUUUUCUUAAUAUGAAAGCUUGAAAUUGCAGCGUAAAUUUUUUUUGCACUCGGUGACCUUUGACCUUGGGUGCAAAUUAAAGGUCACAUGAACUUAAGAUUAUUGGUGUAGGUCCCAAGUCUUUACGACUUCCGGUUCUCGAGAUACAAUUUUUCAAAAAUUGUGUAUAUUUUUUCAAGGGAAAUAACUCCUUAUAAGGGUUAACAACAAAAUGAUUGUAUAUGUUUAUUAUCAUUGCCAUCUGGUGUUGUACAUGUUGCCGUUUUCAAAUCGAUUCUAUCUUGAAUACUUUUUGAGAAAAAUGUAAAAGAAAGAAAUUGCUUCAAGGGGACGUAACUCUCAUAGAGAAUGGUGAAAUCCUUAGCAGCCUCAUAUGGCAACACAUCAUGAUGAGAUCUAACUUUUGUCCAAAUAAGGUCAUGAUAUCUUUUAAAACAACGAGGGGGGGCCAUGUCGAAAAAAACCAAUAAAAGGGAGAUAACUUCUAAAGGGGAUGAUGAAAUCCUACACCGCCUCAUCUGGUAAUACUUCAUGAUGAGGUCUACCGAUGGUCCAUAUUUGGUCUUGAUAACUCCAAUAGAAACGAGGGGACGACAUGUCAAACAAAUGCUGGAUGAAAAAAAAAAAAAAAAAACAGGAGAACUAGUAUCUCAAUUGUUUGUAAAACAAUUGAAAGGUCUUUCCUGUAAAAGUGAUGUUUUCGUAAUGUACUUUGUAUGACCUUUCGUUUGAUAUACGACAAGCAUACCUUCUGAAACUUUUCGCUUUUUACACUUAAUGACCUCAUCCGCCUACAUUUUUGAGAUCGGAAGUAUGAUAUAUGCAACACAGGGUAGAUGAGCUUUCAUUUGAUAUGCAACAACGCCAUGUUCUAGAAAGUUUGAUUUUUGCACUUAAUAACCCCAUCCAACUAAUUUUUGGAGGUCGGGAAUUUGAUAUUUCAAAUGUACACAUCAUGACCUUUCAUUUGAUAUACAACAACCCUAUCGUAAAAGAAAAUUUAUUUUUUGCACUCAAUGACCCCAUUCAACCCAUUUUUGGGGGACGUCAAUUUGAAAUUUGAAAUGUACGCUUUAUGUUCUUUCAUUUGAUAUGCGACAACCUUACCAUCUGAGAAAUUUGAAUUUUUGCACUAAAUGACCCCACCCUUCCACCUGGGAUGAAAAAGAGGUUUAAAUUUUUCAUUUUUAAGUAGAGUUUAUUGAGACCUUCAAUUUGAUAUAUCAGAUGACCCAAUUUGACAAAGUGCCAAAAAUGAUGCAAUAUGAACGAUAUAAAUAGAAGUUAUGAAACCUACAAAGUCAAUGCAAAACAUGAAAAUUUCAAAAUGAUUUUUUUGGUCUUUUUUUCCAUGGAAUGUUUUUGGUAUUUGGUCAAACAUAUAACUAUGUUAACCUCUUCAAUUUCUUAAACAUUUUAAGUGGUAAGAUGUUGUUGAUUCAGAAAUACAUGCCGCGGCUCGCAAAAUUUCAAACUGCAUUAUCUCUAAAACGACAAUAGAUAUCUCAAAUCUGUUAAAUGGUAAAUGAUCUGCAGAUAAAGGACAACAUUAUAGUAAAAGAAUUGGGACAAUUUCAAAGUUCACCAAGGUCACAAUUAAUCAUCAAAUAUAUGAUGCAAUACCAAACUUGAGAACCGGAAGUCGUAGAGACAUGGGACUAUCACCAUUCAACUCAGGACCACUUGACCUUUCAAAUAUCACAAGGUCAAGGUCAUAGUAUAAUGUGAAGGUCAAGGUGAAAUUUCAUCAUGACCUGACAUUGACCUCAAAUUGAAGGUCUUGAAUUACUGAUCAUCUUUGCAGUUUAUAGUAGGUUGAUAUCUGUUACCUUUAAAAAGAUAUACACAAAAUACUAUACUUUUAAGAAUCAUCCCGUUGUAACUUUUGAACAGACAGUCGGACAUUUUUGGACUUAUCAUAUAAAAUGUAGAGCUCGUCGAGAGGAACAUUUUAUACGCUGUUUGUAUGCAGUAAAGUCUUAUCGUUUUCCUAAUAUGACAGCUUGAAAUUGCAGCGUAAUUUUUUUUUUGCACUCGGUGACCUUUGACCUUGGGUGCAAAUUAAAGGUCACAUGAACUUAAUAUUAUUGGUGUAAGUCCCAAGUCUUUACGACUUUCGGUUCUCGAGAUACAAUUUUUCUAAAAUUAUGUACAAUUUUUCAAGGGGAAUAACUCCUUAUAAGGGUUAGUAACAAAAUGAUUGUACAUGUUCAUUAACAUUGCCAUCUAUUCCUGUACAUGUUGUCCUUUUCAAAUCGAUUCUAUCUCUUAUACUUUUUGAGAAAAAUGCAAAGGAAAGAAAUUGUUUCAAGGGGAUAUAACUCUCAUAGGGGACGAUGGAAUCCACUUCAGCCUCACAUGGUAAUACAUCAUGAUGAGAUCUACAUUAUGUCCAAUUAACGUCAUGAUAUCUUUAAAACCAACGAGGGGGGACAAUGUUGAAAAAAAUCAAUAAAAGGGAAAUAACUCCUAAAGGGGAUGAUGAAAUCCUUAACAGGGUCAUUUGGUAAUACAUCUUGGUGAGGUCUAGCAAUGGUCCAUAUUUGGUCUUAAUAACUUCAUCAGAAACAAGAGGCGAGCAUGUCAAAAAAAUGUUGGAAGAAAAAAAAGAAAAAGAAAAUAGUAUCUCAAUUGUUUGUAAAACAAUUGAAAGGUCUUUCCUGUAAAAGUGAUGUUUUCGUAUUGUACUUUGUACGACCUUUCGUUUGAUAUACGACAAGCACACCUUCUGAAACUUUUCGCUUUUUACACUUAAUGACCUCAUCCGUCUACAUUUUUGAGAUCGGAAUUAUGAAAUAUGGAACAGAGUAGAUGAGCUUUCGUUUGAUAUGCGACAACACCAUGUUCUUGAAAGUUUGAUUUUUGCACUUAAUAACCCUAUCCAACAAAUUUUUGGAGGUCGGGAAUUUGAUAUUUAAAAUGUACAAAUCAUGACCUUUCAUUUGAUACACAACAACCCUACCUUAAAAGAACAUUUAUUUUUUGCACUCAAUGACCCCAUCCAACCCAUUUUUUGGGAGACGUCAAUUUGAAAUUUGAAAUGUACGCUUUAUGUUCUUUCAUUUGAUAUGCGACAACCUUACCAUCUGAGAAAUUUGAAUGUUUGCACUAAAUGACCCCACCCGUCCCCCUGGGAUGAAAAGGGGUUUAAAAUUUUCAUUUUUAAGUAGAGUUUAUUAAGACCUUCAAUUUGAUAUAUCAGAUGACCCCAUUUGACAAAGUGCAAAUAAUGAU